CUUCGUCUUUAAUAGUUAUGCAUUGACGUUUGAAGGUAAAUUCUCUCUUAAACCCUAAUCCUCUUCCCUCUCCACCAAUAGUUCGUUGCAAGAAACGAUGUUCGAAACGCUACAUCCAGGUAAUUAGCCUUUGAUUUUCAUAUUUGAACUAAGCUACAAUCGAUUUGGGUGUAAUUUCUUUUCUGUAAUUGGUUUUGGAGUCGCGAUUGGUAUUUUGAAAGGAACUUUUGCCCCGUCGAUUACUUUCGCUUCACAUUCCUCGAAUGAUUGUCGUCUUCGUCAUAGCCUAGAAAAUGAAAGAUGGGUUUUAAUGGCCUUUUGAAUAAAGAUAUGAUUGAAACCAAGAAGGAUAAAGCGAUUUUCCAUAAAGUCAAUAAGGAUCUUCUAAUCUAUGGACGAAGGUGAGGACAUUCUAUAACAAGCACCAGGUUUCAUUGAUAAGCAAGGACUUACUUAUGGCAACAUCCUUUCCAUGUACAAAGGUGAUGAUUAUAAGCUUCAUGCUGCUGGGAGAGAGUAUAUAGAUUUUUACUUUCCAUGUGAAGAUGUUGGGGUCAUGUAUGCUAUUUUUAGUUGAGAUACAAAAUGCAUGUUAUGUCCCUUCUGAGGUAUCUAUAAAAGAAAUGAAAAACAAGACAAAAAGUCAAGACAGUAACCUGGGUUGUUUUUUAUGAGAUGAGGGGCAUUUACGUCUUUUGCGCAAAUGAAAGAUUAAGAAUGGAAAAUCCCGGUGAUUGGAAGGCUAGGCAUGAGAUAUGGGUUAUUACAACUACCUUCACUGGCAGAAGUUUUUACCAAAAAAUCUGAAAUUUUAGCAUUUUUUGACCCAAUGGAAUUAUUGUUGAUCAAGAUUCACUAUGGUUGGUAGUGUUGGUCCUUCCUUCCAUGAAUAGUGUGUAACAACUUCAAAAAUAGAUACUAACGAUUCAUUCUUGGUGGUUUGUUGGUAAUUUGGAUAAAAGUACAGAGCAACACCUUGGGCUUGGAGUUAAAUGAAUGAAUCUGGUUAAUUUGUCCCCUUAGCUUUGUAGCCUUCUUUACAUUUGAUUUUGUAAAAGUUUCCAAUAUUUUAGCUCCAUUUCAAAGCUCUACACACUUGAAGUUCUAUGAUUGUGUUACUUUUAUUUGGUAAUUAGUCAUAGUAAAUAUUCUGUUGUUUGA